rnacentral:rRNA from 1 species
GUCACACCCGUUCCCAUGCCGAACACGGAAGUUAAGCUCUUCAGCGCCGAUGGUAGUUGGGGGUUUCCCCCUGUGAGAGUAGGACGUUGCCAGGC